GUAGCAUUGAGAGAGUGUGCACGCAGGCCAAAAUCUCUUGGGCCAAAGGCCCAAGUCUCACCAACACCAUUAGGUUUCACAACAAAACUUCAGAGCGUACCUUCAAACUUUCCCCAGAAUGAGCGAUUGUGAGACCUCACAGACCAACGGAAGCCGCUCGCGUUAACCUCGUAUCAUUGACGCCGGUACAUCAUCGAUGAGGGAGAAGAAUCACCUUCAAUCGGUAACGCAUGGUCGACGUAGAGCAAGAAUCAGCCUCAAUCAAGGAUCCACCGUCGGCGAAAAGCGAGAGUCAACCUUCAAUCGAAAAUGCGUUGUUGAUGAAAAUUGAUCGUUGACGAUGAUUGGGGUGGAGCGAUGCGUCGCCACUUGAAGUGGAACGCAGAACGACGAUGCUCGAGUCGAAAGAUGAAGAACGGAAGCGAACCAAAUCCGAAAAGGUGAAGUGAUGUUGAUGCUGAUUGAUUGAAAAAGGGGCACUAUUAUUCAACAGGUUUUUUGGAAAAGUUCUGAAGAGUUGCUUUUGAAUUGAGAACUUCCAAAAGAGCUUUUGGAAGAGUCUGUGAAAUUUGCUGUCUUAUUCCAAUUUUUUAAUAAAAUUAUUUCUGAUGUAACAGAGACCUUUUAGAUUAUGAACUUAGGGAUUGCUUGUAACAUGUACAAACUUUAAUUUGGAAUUUCUCUUUUUGGCCAGUUAU